GCAAAACUUCAGGAGACAUCCCAAGCGGAGUUACAUCUCAUAUGAGAAAUAAAUUUAUACAUGUGUCUAAAGUAGACGAAGACCAUGGGAUGCUGGGGCUCACUGACCGUGAAGUCUGUGAAAAGUGGCGGAUCAGGGGAAAUCAAGCCUAUAAGGCUGGAAAUCUUUUGCAAGCUGAGGAUUUAUACACUAAGGGUAUCAAAUCAGUCUCUGCUACAGAAAUUUCAGGCUCUUGCCUGGAGCCUCUUUUGUUAUGCUACAGCAACCGAGCUGCCACUCGAAUGUCACUUAGAAGGAUGAGGGAAGCAAUCAGUGAUUGUGCAUCUGCAGCUGCCUUAGACCCUCACUUUCUAAAAGUAAAACUCAGAGCAGCAAAUUGUUAUCUGGUUCUUGGUGAGGUUGAAGAAGCA
rnacentral:misc_RNA from 1 species